UACGUAGGGAGCAAGCGUUGUCCGGAAUCAUUGGGCGUAAAGCGCGUGUAGGCGGUCCGGUAAGUCCGCUGUGAAAGCCAGGGGCUCAACCCUUGGAUGCCGGUGGAUACUGUCGGGCUUGAGUACGGAAGAGGCGAGUGGAAUUCCUGGUGUAGCGGUGAAAUGCGCAGAUAUCAGGAGGAACACCAAUUGCGAAGGCAGCUCGCUGGGACGUUACUGACGCUGAGACGCGAAAGCGUGGGGAGCAAACAGG
rnacentral:rRNA from 1 species